rnacentral:rRNA from 1 species
AACGCGAAGAACCUUACCUGGGUUUGACAUGCACCAGACAUCCCUAGAGAUAGGGCUUCCCUUGUGGUUGGUGUGCAGGUGGUGCAUGGUUGUCGUCAGCUCGUGUCGUGAGAUGUUGGGUUAAGUCCCGCAACGAGCGCAACCCUUGUUCCAUGUUGCCAGCGGGUAAUGCCGGGGACUCAUGGGAGACUGCCGGGGUCAACUCGGAGGAAGGUGGGGAUGACGUCAAAUCAUCAUGCCCCUUAUGUCCAGGGCUUCACACAUGCUACAAUGGCCAGUACAGAGGGCUGCGAGACCGUGAGGUGGAGCGAAUCUCUUAAAGCUGGUCUCAGUUCGGAUUGGGGUCUGCAACUCGACCCCAUGAAGUUGGAGUCGCUAGUAAUCGCAGAUCAGCAACGCUGCGGUGAAUACGUUCCCGGGCCUUGUACACACCG